rnacentral:rRNA from 1 species
GCCGCGUGAGUGAUGAAGGUCUUCGGAUCGUAAAACUCUGUUAUUAGGGAAGAACAUAUGUGUAAGUAACUGUGCACAUCUUGACGGUACCUAAUCAGAAAGCCACGGCUAACUACGUGCCAGCAGCCGCGGUAAUACGUAGGUGGCAAGCGUUAUCCGGAAUUAUUGGGCGUAAAGCGCGCGUAGGCGGUUUUUUAAGUCUGAUGUGAAAGCCCACGGCUCAACCGUGGAGGGUCAUUGGAAACUGGAAAACUUGAGUGCAGAAGAGGAAAGUGGAAUUCCAUGUGUAGCGGUGAAAUGCGCAGAGAUAUGGAGGAACACCAGUGGCGAAGGCGACUUUCUGGUCUGUAACUGACGCUGAUGUGCGAAAGCGUGGGGAUCAAACAGGAUUAGAUACCCUGGUAGUCCACGCCGUAAACGA